GAGAGAUUAGUCUAGUGGUAAGGCAAUCGCUUCGGUAGCGAGAUUCCCCGGGUUCGAUUCCUGGAUCUCUCA